CUCCGGAGUGCUUAUUUUGUAGCACAUGCUAAAAGAGGCUAGCGGAAAACAAACACAACAUAAACCUUGUUCAUCAUGGUAGAGACUCACAGCCUGCAGGACAUGAGGCAGCAGGCGGCCGUCGCUGCCAAAGUCUUCCUCCAGAGAGAUUACUCCAACGGCACCGUGUGCCAGUUCCAGAGCAAGUUCCCCUCCGAGCUGGAGACCCGGAUUGACAAACAGCAGUUCGAGGAGACGAUGCAGACGCUGAAUAACUUGUACGCCGAAGCGGAGAAGUUGGGAAGCCAGUCGUAUAUCGAAGGCUGUCUGGCCUGCCUCACUGCGUACACCGUCUUCCUGUGUAUGGAGACGCACUACGAGAAGGUUUUGAAGAAGAUUGCAAAGUACAUUCAGGAGCAGAACGACAAGAUCUACGCCCCGCGAGGCCUCCUGCUCACCGACCCCAUCGAGAGAGGCCUAAGAGUCAUUGAGGUGACCAUCUUUGAAGACAGAAGCCUGACCAGAUAAAAGCUUCCACGUCUUGUGUUCAUCUUUGUGUUUCUGUAGCUAUCAAACAGUUCUUCAAGGUCCACAUCAGUGUCCCCUCCAAUGAGGACCCCCCAAAAGACCUGCACCCUAAAAACUGCGUCUCUACAAUCGACCCGUUCCAUGUAAUGUGCGUGAGAAUCCUUUAUGACCAAGAUAUCUUUAUUCCUGACCUCCUCUUACCUUUAAGGGUUAAAGUCUGCAAUCUGUUUGACAACUAGCUCAAUUUAAUGAGUAAUAACCCUUUAUUUUGGAUUAAAAAGCAACAUUUAGUAUAUUUAUUUGUGGGACACUCCAAGCCAAAACGUCAGGGUAAUUAAUGUCUAAUGAAGGAACUCAUCCAAACCAAUACUGUACUUUAUUAUCUUAUGAAAGCAUUUCAUCAAGAGGUUUGUUUGCUUUAUUCCUGAUUUCUUUCAAGGGUGUUAUUUAUCUUCCUGCAUGUUUACUUUAUAAUGUUUGACCUUAUAGUUAAAACUGACGACCCUUAAGAUCGUCAGCAUAAACACAUUCCAGUCAAUCGUUAAAAAAAUGUGCAUCUUUUAAAUGUAAGAAAGCCAAAACAUGUGCCCGCUCUGUAUUCAGUGUGUUAUAUAUUAUCAAUGCUUCUUUCUGUAAACUGUGCCAUGCAUAGUGUUUGGUGACUACUGUCUGAUAUAUCCAUAUUUUAUUGUGAGAUUUGCCUUUGACCGAAGUAUUAAAAGUGCUCUUGUUAGUUGACAUUGCCUGUAAUGGUUUUGAAUGUGUUGAUGUGAACAGGGAUGGUCACACCAGGGUUCAAAAUGUUAUUAUUCCAAUGAAAACGCUGCUAAUGGGUAUUUGCUCAAUGGGGGGGAAAGGUGAAUCAGCUCAGAUGUUUCACAUUGAGUCCAACUUUGGUGAGUUUGACUCUUACAUUAGCUUUUUUUAACCAAAAGAAAGCCAUCUUGACAACGCUUUAAAGGAACCAGGAGUUGGAAGGGUGGCUAAUAAGCUGUCGUAGCUUCCGUAGCUAAAUAGCUUCCGUAGAUAAUUAGCUGCUGUUUUGUACCUCAAAGUUUCUAAGCUGCUGUCUUUAUUCAGACAUUUAAUGAGUUGAGCCAAACACAGAAGUUGUUUAAAAGCACAUUUUAAUCUUCACUUGAAUCCACAAUGUUAAGUCACCCAAAAAAAUUAAAUAAGAAAAUAAAAUGUCUAAGAACGAAUGCACUAAGCGAACAAUUCCCAUUGGACACCUUCUUUACAUCUGGUGUCCAGUUUAAAUAAUGUUUUUAAUGGACAACAGUCAAUCCUACAAGUAUGUCCUUUGAAUUAACCAUGAAUUAUCCCGUUAGCUACUAAGCUAAGCUAACAACAGCCCGUUAGCAAGCGUGCUAUUUCUGAGCGCUUCAUUCCCCCUCUUUAAUAACUAUUUAUUUAUUUAAAAUGGUCUACACUGAGGAUUAAAGCACAAGUGGGAGUAAACAGAACUUUAAAGGUAAAAUCUGGGUUAUCACCAGAGUUAGCGGUUUGCUAGCCAGAGUUAGCGGUUUGCUAGCCAGAGUUAGAGGUUUGCGAGCCAGAGUUAGUUGUUUGCUAGCCAGAGUUAGAGGUAUGCUAGCCAGAGUUGGAGGUUUGCUAGCCAGAGUUAGAGGUUUGCGAGCCAGAGUUAGUUGUUUGCUAGCCAGACUUAGAGGUUUGCUAGCCAGAGUUAGAGGUUUGCUAGCCAGAGUUAGAGGUUUGCUAGCCAUAGUUAGAGGUUUGCGAGCCAGAGUUAGAGGUUUGCUAGCUAUAGUUAGAGGUUUGCUAGCCAGAGUUAGCGGUUUGCUAGCCAGAGUUAGCGGUUUGCUAGCCAGAGUUAGAGGUUUGCGAGCCAGAGUUAGUUGUUUGCUAGCCAGAGUUAGAGGUUUGCUAGCCAGAGUUGGAGGUUUGCUAGCCAGAGUUAGCGGUUUGCUAGCCAGAGUUAGAGGUUUGCGAGCCAGAGUUAGAGGUUUGCUAGCCAGAGUUAGAGGUUUGCUAGCCAUAGUUAGAGGUUUGCUAGCCAUAGUUAGAGGUUUGCUAGCCAGAGUUAGAGGUUUGCGAGCCAGAGUUAGAGGUUUGCUAGCCAUAGUUAGAGGUUUGCUAGCCAUAGUUAGAGGUUUGCUAGCCAGAGUUAGCGGUUUGCUAGCCAGAGUAAGCGGGUUGCUAGCCAGUUAGUGGUUUGCUAGCCAGAGUUAGCGGUUUGCUAGCCAGAGUAAGCGGGUUGCUAACCAGAGUUAGCGGUUUGCUAACCAGAGUUAGCGGUUUGCUAGUCAUAGUUAGAGGUUUGCUAGCCAGAGUUAGCGGUUUUCUAGCCAGAGUUAGCGGUUUUCUAGCCAGAGUUAGCAGCUAGCUACAGCAGAUGUCUGGCUAGCCCUGUGAGACUGUAUCCGAGCUUCUAGCACAAAAUACUUUGCAGAAAAGCACAAUUUAAAUUCCCUGCACAACCUCCGGGUGUGACCAGACCUUACCUGUGAAGCUGAAAUAAUGAUGUAAUGUUUAUAAAAUCUUUACAAAUGUUGGACAAACUGCUGUAUGUAAUGUUAGAGUAUAAAAUGACUAGAUGUACACGUACAGAUUUCUGAAUGCCAUUGCACAAAAGAUCAACCUUUUAUCGUGAUUUCUAAAGAUAAAAUGUCAUGUAUGAUUGUUGGUUUAGUUUAUUUAUCAGGAGUUCUGUUGACUGGACUUUUCUACGUUUCUUUUUUCAGUUGAAAUCCAUUUAUUUAUUUUUUUGAUCUAAAAGGUGUAUGCUGACAAAUAAAAAGUGUACAGAUUUUAACACGGUGCUGGAUCCUGAUUGUCAUGUCUUUUUUCACAUCUUAUGAAUCAAUCUUGCAAACAAGACACCAAGUUCCUGGUGCUUUUUUUAUGAUUUACAGUCGAGAAUUUAGGAUCCAAGAGUUGAACGGACUCCAGGGCUUCGGUUCAACUUGGUCUGCUUUCAAGGGCGAUAUUUAAUAGUCGUAGGGAUUUUUGAAACAUUGGUUUUAUUCUCACAGGAGCGGAGAGAGACGUAGGAUCUGAGAACACCACGACGCCUCAGUGGCUCGUCUGAUUUUCACUGACCUCUGACUUUUGUAGAAAGGAAACCCUCACCAGGAUCAGUAAGUCAUGCAUUCUUCUGUGUGGGUUUUUAACAACAGAGAUAUGAAAUACAUUUGAACUUUAACCCAGAGAUGGAAACCACAUGCGUGUUACAGAAGGAACGAACAUGUUAGCCUUUGUAGACCAUUUACAUGCACUAAAACCUACAUAAAGCACAAUAGGAACCCUUUAAUAGUGUGACCUGGUGACUACAUUACCCACAAUGCAAAGCCACUGCUCACAGCAUUAUACAACUUUUUCCUAUCAGUAAUAAUGCCUAUUUACAACCAAGUAAAGCUGCACAUCUUCACUUUAAAUAAGUACUUAUCAAUUUUUUAAAACAUAUUUGUUCUUUUAUUUACCUUUUUCUGUACCGUAUACAGCAAUGCAUGCUGGGAUAGCGAUUGAAUGGAUCCCAAAACAUCAGUUUUUUUGUGAAACCACUUUCUUCUGCAGUGUAGUGUUUGUUUUGAGCCACAAGGGGGCAGUGCUGCUGCAGUGCUGUUAAUACAACUAAUCCACCUGUGUAUAUCUUGUAAUAUACAUAGUAUAAAUUGUAGUAUAAUGUGUAACAUUUUUAUUCUACUUAUUAUUGGAAUUUUUUUCAUUUUAUUUCUUUUUUUUUUACUUGUUAUCUAUGUUUACAUAUUUUUAUUGUAUCUUCUAUUCGACAUUUUUCUUAAACUUCAGAUUAUUAUAUUACUAUUUUUACCACAUUUUCUUUUACUGGGAGGCGUGUGGCGCAGUGGACUAGUGCGUUGGUGUUGGGAUCAGGGGGUCACAGGUUCAAACCCCACUGCAGUCAGCAUGUCGUUGUGUCCCUGAGACGCCUCACCCCACAUUGCUCCUGUGGGGAUCGUCCACAGUGUUGAGUAUGUGAGUCGCUUUGGAUAAAAGCGUCUGACAUGUCAUGUAUUCACAUUUUUCAUAUUUCUUGGUGGGGAAAAAGAAAGUAAUGUCCGUUCUGAAAAAUAAAAUCUCACUGCUGUA